AUGGACGCGAAGUCAGUGAUAGCAGCAAAUUCAAUUCCGUUCCGUUUUAGAGGGUUUCUCGGGCGGAAAAGGGAGAGUAAUUUAAAAUUCUCUGGCCAAACAGACCUAAAUGUUCAUGCAUUAGCUCGCAAGACAAAAUCUAACUGGAAGCGGGUUCAAAGUGUUGGUAAUGCCAAGGAAACUUCUGUAGAAUGUGCAUCUUUAGUACAAAACCUGCAUAGGAAAAAUGAACUGUGUCUGCCUGACAAAUGUACCCUUUCGGAUAUGAUGCUUUAUUUUGCUGGUAAUGGACAUAUUCGUGAAGCUCGGGCUAUAUGGGAGGAGAUGCUGAAUAGCUCGGAAAUGCCGAGUAUUGAAAUCAUUUCCAAGCUAUUUUAUGCUUUUGCGAAAUGGGGCUAUUUCGAUGGAGUAGUAAAGAUUCUAGACCAGUUGAGUUAUAGUGAUUUCAGUAACCUACACGAGGCUUACUCGAUUGCUAUAUCUUGCUUUGGAGACGGAGGACAGCUUCCGUUGAUGGAAAAUGCGUUGAAUGAUAUGGUCUUGAGGGGAUUUACAGUUGACUACGCUACUGGAAAUGCUUUUAUUAGAUAUUGCAGUAUGCAUGGUUCUUUGAGGGAGAUGGAGUCGGCUUAUAGUCGUCUUAAAAAGUCUAGACAUCUUAUAGAUAGAGAAGGGAUCAGAGCAAUAUCGCUUGUGUAUUUAAGGCGUCGAAAGCUUUACAGACUAGGAGAAUUCUUGAGAGAUGUGGGGCUUGCUAGGAAAGAUGUAGGAAACCUCUUAUGGAAUUUUCUGUUGCUAUCUUAUGCUGCGGACUUCAAAAUGAAAACUCUGCAAAGAGAAUUUCUUAAAAUGUUAGAAGCUGGUUUUCGCCCUGAUGUCACUACGUUUAAUAUACGAGCUCUGGCUUUUUCAAGAAUGUCUUUGUUAUGGGAUCUCCAUCUUAGCCUUGAACAUAUGAAACAUGAAAGAGUAUCUCCUGAUCUCGUGACUUACGGCUGUAUUGUCGAUGCAUACUUGGAUAGAAGACUGGCUAAGAAUCUGAACUUUGCCCUCAAAAAAAUGAAUAUGGAUGGUUCUCCUGUACUCUUGACAGAUCCUUUUGUGUUUGAGGUUUUGGGUAAAGGGGAUUUCCAUUCAAGUGCAGAGUCAUUUUUGGAGUUUAAGAGGCAAUGGAGAUGGACGUACAAAGAACUUGUAUCUGUGUAUCUCAGAAAGCAGCAUCGAAGUAACCAGAUCUUCUGGAAUUACUAACCCGCGAUGUCAUGUUAGAAUGCUGAAACUCCCCGGCCUGUUGAUCAAACUGGAACAUCAUUUUUGUCCGCAGAAUAUCGCCCCAGAUGUGGAUACUCCUGAAUUCUGCAUUGUAAUUUAUGCUGCAACUCUGGCUGGAUUUAGUUCAGUUAUCACAAUACAAUUUUUAUAUAGAAUGAUGGUGAGAUGUUGAAAAUGAACUUCUGAAAUAAAGAAGCUGUAAAUAUCAAUCUAGCUCUCAUCAUAUGUAACUUACUAAAAUAAAUAUACAUUACCCCGGGUGAGUCAAUGAAUCACAAACAGCAGCAGCAGCACAUGGCAAUUUUUACCGCUGCAAGCCUUCCGUGAUUGACUGGAGCGGCUGUCAACCUUUUGUUUCGUGAAUCCUGCUGCUUAUCAUACACACCAAUUAUUUGGAAUAUGUGAAGAGACAGAAGAAUAGACACAGGAUGCAUUACUUCUUAGAUAUGUACAUGGCGGGUUCUUGGCAUAUACUGCCACAAGGUAUGUUUUGUUAAAACAUAUUGGUAAGUAUAUAUUCAUUCAAUUUCAAUUGUUGUGAUAUUUAUUGGAGGAGUCAUUUUUUCAUAAGAUUUUAUGCUCUUAAAUUUUGAAAUUUGACGAUAAAAUUUACAUUUGGGAGUUAUAGCCAGGUAAAUGGCAGUUCAUUCAUUGUACAAC